rnacentral:misc_RNA from 1 species
GGAGGUAAAAGUCGUAACAAGGUUUCCGUAGGUGAACCUGCGGAAGGAUCAUUAACGAGUUAGGGUCUUCCAGGCCCGACCUCCCAACCCUCUGUUUAUUGAACCUCUGUUGCUUCGGCGGGCCCGUCUCACGGCCGCCGGGGGAGUCGCCGCGAGGCACCCUCUGGCCAGCGUCCGCCGAUGGCCAGCCUCAAAACUCUGAAUGAAUCGUGUCAUGAUGUCUAAGUCUAUGAUUAAAUUAAAGCAAAACUUUCAACAACGGAUCUCUUGGUUCUG